rnacentral:rRNA from 1 species
CAUGGCUCAGGACGAACGCUGGCGGCGUGCUUAACACAUGCAAGUCGAACGCUGAAGGCCCAGCUUGCUGGGUUGGAUGAGUGGCGAACGGGUGAGUAACACGUGAGUAACCUGCCCCCUUCUUUGGGAUAACGGUCGGAAACGGCUGCUAAUACCGGGUAUUCACUGUCCUUCGCAUGGGGGGUGGUGGAAAGGUUUUUUCUGGUGGGGGAUGGGCUCGCGGCCUAUCAGCUUGUUGGUGGGGUGAUGGCUUACCAAGGCUUUGACGGGUAACCGGCCUGAGAGGGUGACCGGUCACAUUGGGACUGAGAUACGGCCCAGACUCCUACGG